rnacentral:rRNA from 1 species
AACGAACGCUGGCGGCGUGCUUAACACAUGCAAGUCGAACGCGAACGGGUUCUUCGGGACCUUAGUAGAGUGGCGCACGGGUGAGUAACGCGUAAGUUAUCUACCUCGGCAUCUGGAAUAACUCACCGAAAGGUGUGCUAAUACCGGAUACGUUGAGUAAUCAAGAAAGGUGGCCUCUGCAUAUGCUACCGUGCUGAGAUGAGCUUGCGUACCAUUAGCUAGUUGGUAGGGUAAUGGCCUACCAAGGCGACGAUGGUUAGCGGGUCUGAGAGGAUGAUCCGCCACACUGGAACUGGAACACGGACCAGACUCCUACGGGAGGCUG